UGAGGAAUCUUGCGCAAUGGGGGAAACCCUGACGCAGCAACGCCGCGUGAGUGAGGAAGGUCUUCGGAUCGUAAAGCUCUGUCGGGUGGAAAGAAAUGUAUGGGGUUAAUAGCCUUCAUACUUGACGGUACCACCAAAGGAAGCACCGGCUAACUCCGUGCCAGCAGCCGCGGUAAUACGGGGGUGCAAGCGUUGUUCGGAAUUAUUGGGCGUAAAGAGCGUGUAGGCGGCUUGGCAAGUCAGAUGUGAAAGCCCUGGGCUUAACCCAGGAAGUGCAUUUGAAACUGCCUAGCUUGAGUAGGGGAGAGGGAAGUGGAAUUCCUGGUGUGGAGGUGAAAUUCGUAGAUAUUAGGAGGAACACCGGUGGCGAAGGCGACUUCCUGGCCCUAUACUGACGCUGAGACGCGAGAGCGUGGGUAGCAAACAG
rnacentral:rRNA from 1 species